ensembl:lncRNA
CAAAAAACUAGUUCUAAUUCCUGACUAUUAUUUCACAGUUGUAGCUGGUUGCUCACAGGAAUAUUUGGGUGAGGGAGGUGCGUCAGUGUGAGGCCAUAAUCACUAAUGGUCCUCCUCCCUCUUUCCCCAGAGAGAAUGAAACAAGGGCAGUCCCUGGCUACAAAUUUAAUGGAGUCCUUGCAAAGGAUAAUUUUAAAGCUUGAGGCAGGCCUAGGUGUAGCAAUUGGACGAUCUGGCUACCCUGGCCCACAGUCUGCGUGGUAACAGCUGGGGAGACGGGUGGAAGAUGCUUCCUUCGGACGAGGCGUGCCUUACCUAGUUUGCCAAAGUUUUGUACCCAGUCGACUUCACUCAUUGGCGUUACCUGUGUGACCACUCUAGACAUUUGAGUCUGUGACUUGUGGUCUGAGAAAAUCUUGCUGGACUCUUCUCUGGAGCUUGAAGUGCUAAAGUCAUCACCAACUAUUCUACUGAAGUCUCAUUUCUUUCUUUGGGGCAUAAUUUGAGAUCAAUAAUUCAGAUUUGGUAGAAUGUACAGCUGAGAGGAAGGAGGUAGAUUUUGGAAUAAGAACAACACCCGAGGGUAGGGUUUCUUGGAGGGUAGAUGGAGAGUCUUAGUCUAAGGCGCAUUUGUAUGGGUAAUUAAUGCUAUGCUGUAUGGGUAAUUAAUGUAUAAGCCCUGCAUUCUCAGUGGCUUUACACGGUAAGGGUUUCCUCCUUGCUCACACCACACUCUCAGUCUCAUGGAGCGUGGGCAGCUCCCCCAUCUUGUAGUCAUGCCAUCUGGAACAGCAGGAGAAGAGAGGGAGUGGAUAUUCUCGUGCAGGGAGUUUAUGAUCAGGUCUGGAAGUGGCAAACAUCACUUCCAAUCCUAUCCGAUUGUCCAGAACCCAAUUAUAUGCCCUAACAUUAACUGCAAGGCAGGCUGAGAAUGGAGUGUUCCUGGGUGCCCAGGAAGAGGAAAGUGAAACAGGAGUGGGAACACAUAGCAUUGUCUUCGCUGCAGAGCUUAAAGGAAGGGUAUGUUUUUCAGAGAAGGGCAGACCUGAGGAUGGGAGAGCAGGGGUCGGAAGUAGGAUGUGCCCGUCAUUGAGGAGUUAUCUGUCUGAGUCCUUUCCCCUAGGCUAUGGGAAACAUCAUCUUAACAUAGAGUUUUACAUUCUCUUCCAGUGUGUAAUUUCCUUUAAUUCCCCCAACCUUUUAGGGAAAUCUGAUACACAUCCUUAUGUGGCCUUAGGUUGAGUGAUGCAGAGAAUAAAGAGACAACACAAUAAAAGGAAGUGCUGCCUGCCUAUGUCCCUCCCUGCUGGCUCCCUUAGAAAGCAUCGGCAUCCAUCUGAAGUCUGUGUCCAGGAGUCCCAGACAGGGACCAGCCACAAACAGUCUUUUGCGUGCUCUUCCUUGACUGUGUUCGUGCUGGUGGGGAUGCUGCACAUCGGUUCUCAGAUGCGAGUUGAGAUCAAGGUGAACAGUCAGGAAGAUGACCUCCGCUGAGCAGCAAAGUGAGAAGUGAGGAGAGGGGCUCAGUUCAGAGGCUGGGAACAACCAGGUGACAUCCCAGGCCUACUUGUAUGUGGUAUGGUAGUACCUGACCCUCAAAGAUGGU